rnacentral:lncRNA from 1 species
UUCAAAAUCUCAAAACCCAUAUAUAUUGGUUUGACUGGUUUAUAACUUAAACCGAUAUCAAACCACCUCAAACCAAGCUAACCCGAAAUUGUAACCUUGUUAUGUCACCAACAUCGAAAUUGUGACCGGAGAAGACGAAGAGAAACCACUGUCACGCCAUCAAGAUCGUCAUCGCAUCAUCCCUAAUCCCAAAAACAGGAUCCCUAAAUCUCUAUCUCAACAGGUUCAAAUAACAGCCGACGACGUCUUGAAUGAAUCUGAAUUCUCUCUCUGUUAAGGAGAGAUGAUUUGCUCAUGGUCGCCUUCGUCACCGGAGCCAAGCUACCGGCUUCUUCAAGUCAAAGCAACAUCAACCGCAAUGGCCAAAUCAGAGUUUGAGUUUCCAUCGUGAAGGCCAAAUUGUAGAUGGGUUUCUCAUUAUUGUCGUUAAUUGUUCUUGAUUUUGAGUAUCAAGCUCUCAUGUAAAGUGAAUCGAUUUUGUUUUGGGUGAUGUCACAGAUUGUAGAAGUGCGAAUCCAAACGAAAAAAAGAAUAAAAAAAUUGCUUGAUUCUAAAUUUGUCUAAUCCGAAGAUUAGAUUUUGCUCUUGAAAACAGAAUUGCAGAAAAGUGCAAGUUGACACAAAUUGC